rnacentral:tRNA from 1 species
AUCCUUUAAGUAUAAAUGAAGUACGUUUGCCUUCCAAGCAAGAAGAUUAAUUAAUUUUAAAAAGGAUA